rnacentral:rRNA from 1 species
UACGUAGGGGGCUAGCGUUGUCCGGAAUCAUUGGGCGUAAAGAGCGUGUAGGCGGCCCGGUAAGUCCGCUGUGAAAGUCGGGGGCUCAACCCUCGAAUGCCGGUGGAUACUGUCGGGCUAGAGUGCGGAAGAGGCGAGUGGAAUUCCUGGUGUAGCGGUGAAAUGCGCAGAUAUCGGGAGGAACACCAAUGGCGAAGGCAGCUCGCUGGGACGUGACUGACGCUGAGACGCGAAAGCGUGGGGAGCAAACAGG